CCUACGGGAGGCAGCAGUAGGGAAUAUUGCUCAAUGGGGGAAACCCUGAAGCAGCAACGCCGCGUGACGGAUGAAGGUUUUCGGAUUGUAAACUCCUUUUGUUAGAGAAGAUAAUGACGGUAUCUAACGAAUAAGCACCGGCUAACUCCGUGCCAGCAGCCGCGGUCAUACGGCGGGUGCAAGCGUUACUCGGAAUCACUGGGCGUAAAGCGCGCGUAGGCGGGAUAGCAAGUCAGAUGUGAAAUUCUAUGGCUGAACCAUAGAACUGCAUUUGACACUGUUAUUCUAGAGUAUGGGAGAGGUAGGUGGAAUUCUUGGUGUAGGGGUAAAAUCCGUAGAGAUCAAGAGGAAUACUCAUUGCGAAGGCGACCUGCUAGAACAUAACUGACGCUGAUGCGCGAAAGCGUGGGGAGCAAACAGGAUUAGAUACCCCUGUAGUC
rnacentral:rRNA from 1 species